rnacentral:lncRNA from 1 species
GCUGAAACAUAUUAUUAAUAUUUUUAUAAAAAUUAAAAAAUAAAUCAUAUUACAUCAAGAAAAGAGUAUAUGAAAAGAUCAGGUAUCAAUGUCUGAUUGUACAUGACAAUCAAAAUUGGAGUAUAAUCCAUUUCUUGUAAUUUUAGAUUCUUGCAAAUUAGUGUUUCUUCCAAACACUGCAGUCUUUACCCCAGACAAGAAAUGUAAUGUGGAUAGAAGAAUUACACCCCACUUACAAACAUACACAACAAAAGAUACAAAGGUCCUGCCAUCCUGUAACAAAUCCAAACCCCCCNNN